rnacentral:tRNA from 1 species
CGGGGCGUGGCGCAGCUUGGCUAGCGCGUCUGCAUGGGGUGCAGAAGGUCGCAGGUUCGAAUCCUGUCGCCCCGA